GCAGGGGAUUUUUUGUGCGCGAACGCUGUAUUCCUUACAGUGUGUUUACUGCCUGUAAGGUGGACGAAAUAAACGCGCCAAGGUCUCCCCACAACUAAGAGCCCUGUGUCCAGUUCCUCUUCUGCACGGAACACAUCCCACCUUCACCCAAAA